UACGUAGGGUGCGAGCGGUGUCCGGAAUUAUUGGGCGUAAAGAGCUUGUAGGCGGUUUGUCGCGUCUGCCGUGAAAAUUCGAGGCUCAACCUCGAACUUGCGGUGGGUACGGGCAGACUAGAGUGUGGUAGGGGAGACUGGAAUUCCUGGUGUAGCGGUGAAAUGCGCAGAUAUCAGGAGGAACACCGAUGGCGAAGGCAGGUCUCUGGGCCACUACUGACGCUGAGAAGCGAAAGCAUGGGGAGCGAACAGG
rnacentral:rRNA from 1 species